ACUGAAUAGAUACCCUGGUAGUCCCAGCCGUAAACGAUGCUCGCUAGGUGUCAGGCAUGGCGCGACCGUGUCUGGUGCCGCAGGGAAGCCGUGAAGCGAGCCACCUGGGAAGUACGGCCGCAAGGCUGAAACUUAAAGGAAUUGGCGGGGGAGCACAACAACGGGUGGAGCCUGCGGUUUAAUUGGACUCAACGCCGGACAACUCACCGGGGGUACGACAGCAAUAUGUAGGCCAGGCUGAAGACCUUGCCUGAAUCGCUGAGAGGAGGUGCAUGGCCGUCGCCAGUUCGUACUGUGAAGCAUCCUGUUAAGUCAGGCAACGAGCGAGACCCGUGCCCACUGUUACCAGCAUAUCCUCCGGGAUGAUGGGUACUCUGUGGGGUACCGCCGGUGUUAAACUCGGAGGAAGGUGCGGGCCACGGUAGGUCAGUAUG
rnacentral:rRNA from 1 species